UAAGUAGAGGUCGCGCUUUUUAUGAGUACGCUGCCGGAUGCUCCGGUGGCAGAUACGAGGGCAGAGGAAAGGAAAAAGCGCCGAAGCGAAGGAGCGUACCGGCGCUUCUGCCGCUGGGUGCACGGUCAACAGCCGUGCAACUGUCAUCAGAACAUGAUGGAGAGCUACUUGU
rnacentral:ncRNA from 1 species